rnacentral:rRNA from 1 species
UACGUAGGUGGCAAGCGUUGUCCGGAUUUAUUGGGUUUAAAGGGUGCGUAGGCGGCCCUGUAAGUCAGUGCUGAAAUCCCCCGGCUUAACCGGGGUGGUGGCAUUGAUACUGCAGGGCUUGAGUACAGAUGAGGUAGGCGGAAUUGACGGUGUAGCGGUGAAAUGCAUAGAUAUCGUCAAGAACACCGAUAGCGAAGGCAGCUUACUGGGCUGUAACUGACGCUGAUGCACGAAAGUGUGGGGAUCAAACAGGAUUAGAUACCCUGGUAGUCCACACUGUAAACGUUGAUUACUCGCUGUUUGCGAUACACUGCAAGCGGCUUAGCGAAAGCGAUAAGUAAUCCACCUGGGGAGUACGCCGGCAACGGUGAA